rnacentral:rRNA from 1 species
GGAUUAGAUACCCUGGUAGUCCACGCCGUAAACGAUGUGCACUAGAUCGGUGGCGGUCUGACCCGUUGCCGGUCGUAGAGAAAUCACUAAGUGCACCGCCUGGGGAGUACGGUCGCAAGGCUAAAACUCAAAGGAAUUGACGGGGGCUCACACAAGCGGUGGAGCAUGUUGCUUAAUUCGAGUCAACGCGAAGAACCUUACCUGGGUUUGACAUGUACGGAUUAACUCUGUGAAAGCAGAGCCACGCCCGCAAGGGUGGAACGUACACAGGUGCUGCAUGGCUGUCGUCAGCUCGUGCCG